GGAGAGAUGGCCGAGAGGUCGAAGGCGGCAGAUUUGAAAUCUGUUGUGCGGGCGACCGCACCGGGGGUUCGAAUCCCUCUCUCUCCG
rnacentral:tRNA from 1 species